ensembl:lncRNA
GCUGCAUUGUGGGAAAGAUAGUUCCGGGGUGAGGUCUGCACAAGCCCAGCUGGGGGAGGGGUGGAGCGAGACGCGUGUCCUGAGUAGUGCGCAUGCGUGCGAUGCGGAGCCCCCAGGUAGCUGCCUGAGCGUGCCAGCGUGGGUGUGCUCCUGCCCUAGAAGGGGUGAUCCUCCAGUCUGCCUGGCCGCACUCAGCAGGAUGGACCUCGCCCCAGUUUGGCCGCCCGGGCGGAGAGGACAGUGCGGACCCCGGGCACGAUGGAAGGGACGACCGUGGAGGACGUCUGAGGACCCAGCUGAGAAAGACAGCCGCUUGCCAUCGUCAUUGCCCUCCCCGUUCAGCAGCGGGGGAAGCCGAGGCAGAAAACACUCUGCCCUCCCCCGAGAGAUGAGCGGAGGUCAGCGCAAGGAGGGAGCGACCUCAGGGCUCCCAGCAGCCCCCGGCUUGAUCAGACCAUCAAAUGCAGACCCCUUAGCCUGGCUGGUUUCCAGACUGUCUGCCACCCACAGUCACUCAUUCCACGUUCAAGGCCAGCUUCCCUGCCUCACCCUCCUCCUAUCCCUGUUGGCCCAGCUCCCGUGCUCCCUCUUUGGGGAGAGACUCUCUGAUCCCCCACUCGAAUGUGUCCUGGAGCCCUCAGUCUGCAUCUUCCCCUUCCACCAUCACUGCAGGUGAAAGCAACCCACUGGUGGACACUAACCUCUGCAGAGGCAGAGAAUGUGGCCUCCUGGUGUCCCCCCAGCAUUGUGGGCUCAGUAAGCACUUGAGGUCCUUGACCUGCCUCUGAGGCUGGCUCCUCACGAGCCUCUCCAUCCUCUCUUGGGGUCCCGUUACAGCUCCGUUGUCCCUUGGGUCAGGAGUGACCUAAUGCUCCAGCUGACAUCAGGAGAACAUUCAGGUGAAGCCCACAAGCAUCCCUGCGGUGCCUCACGCAUACCAGGCUCUGCCCUAAGCACUGGGGACACCUAGAAGGGCAGAAACCAGGAGCGCACACUCCAGUGGGGAGAAGACAUGAAAACUACUGUGAACAGACUAAUAGUUAAACCCACCAGAGAUGGUGGGGGCAGAAAGAGAGUGUGUCUUUAGUGAAGAGGAGAGAGGACCCAGGACAAAAUCCUAGAGCGCGCUCAGAAUUCAAGGGCCAAAAGGGCAGGAGGAGAACCAGGAGAUAAUCACAGGAAGGAAAGACUCUAGAAAAAGGUGACCUGGAGGACCCAGAGCGGCUGAGGGGCCAAGGAGGGUUGGGAUGUAGAAAGGUACUACGGUUCAGAAUCAUCCAUUCCACACGUUUUGCCCCCCUCCUCUGGACCAAGUGAAAGCAGAAACGUGUUGGCUGUUUCAGGAGUCCGUGACAUUCCAGGAUGUGACUGUAGACUUUACCCAGAGGGAAUGGAGGCAGCUGACCCACGCCCAGAAGAACCUGUACCGGGAGGUCAUGCUGGAGAACUAUGAGAACUUUGUCUCCCUGGGUAAGAAGCAGAGCUUCCGGGGGGGCUCGCAAUCUGCCUUCCCCAGGGAGGGGAUGUCCUCACUGGCUGAGGGUGGCAGGCUAUUUGAAGGGCUGCUCACCUCGUUCUGUACUUGGCCGGCCUUCAGAGAGGCUGCUUGUGCUCCUUUUCCUAGGAGAAGCUCUGCAAGUAGAAAUAGAUAGAGU